rnacentral:rRNA from 1 species
ACCAAUGGGAAACGAUUGCUAAUACACGAUACGCCCUUCAGGGUUAUAUGUUUCUUCGCCUAAACAUGAGCUCGCGUCCGAUUAGAUAGUAGGUAGUGUAAUCGACUACCUAGUCGACGAUCGGCAGUUCGUUUGAGAGGACAAUCAGCCACACUGGGAAUCAGACACGGCCCAGACUCCUACGGGAGGCAGCAGUGGGGAAUUUUCCGCAAUGGGCGCAAGCCUGACGGAGCAAUACCGCGUGGGGGAGGAAGGUCUGUGGAUUGUAAACCCCUUUUCUCAGGGAAGUAGUUCUGACGGUACCUGAGGAAUCAGCAUCGGCUAACUCCGUGCCAGCAGCCGCGGUAAUACGGAGGAUGCAAGCGUUAUCCGGAAUUAUUGGGCGUAAAGCGUCCGCAGGYGGCUAGAUAAGUYUGCUUUCAAAGAGCGGGGCUCAACCCCAUAGGGGGAGUGGAAACUGUUUAGCUAGAGUAUGGUAGGGGCAGAGGGAAUUCCCAGUGUAGCGGUGAAAUGCGUAGAUAUUGGGAAGAACACCAGUGGCGAAGGCGCUCUGCUGGACCGAGACUGACGCUGAGGGACGAAAGCUAGGGGAGCGAAAGGGAUUAGAUACCCCUGUAGUCCUAGCUGUAAACGAUGGACACUAGGUGUUGCGCGUAUCGACCCGUGCAGUGCCGUAGCUAACGCGUUAAGUGUCCCGCCUGGGGAGUACGCACGCAAGUGUGAAACUCAAAGGAAUUGACGGGGGCCCGCACAAGCGGUGGAGUAUGUGGUUUAAUUCGAUGCAACGCGAAGAACCUUACCAGGGUUUGACAUCCCUCGAAUCUCUGCGAAAGUGGAGAGUGCCUUUGGGAGCGAGGAGACAGGUGGUGCAUGGCUGUCGUCAGCUCGUGUCGUGAGAUGUUGGGUUAAGUCCCGCAACGAGCGCAAUCCCACGUUUUCAGUUGCCAGCAUUAAGUUGGGGACUCUGGAGAGACUGCCGGUGACAAACCGGAGGUAUGGUGUGGACGUAAGUCAAGUCAUCAUGCCCCUUACAUCCUGGGCUACACACGUACUACAAUGGUUAGGACAAAGGGCAGGGAAGCCG